GCCCACAUAGCUCAGUAGGUAGAGCACACCCUUGGUAAGGGUGAGGUCGACGGUUCAAAUCCGUCUGUGGGCUCCA
rnacentral:tRNA from 1 species